rfam:Salmo salar isolate Sally breed double haploid chromosome ssa10, whole genome shotgun sequence.
UGGCUCAGUUGGUAAAGCAUGGUGCUUGCGACGCCAAGGUUGUGGGUUCAAUUCCCAU